rnacentral:rRNA from 1 species
GACUAACGCUGGCGGCGUGCCUAACACAUGCAAGUCGAACGGACCCUUCGGGGUUAGUGGCAGACGGGUGAGUAACACGUAGGUAAUGUGCCCUCUUGCCGGGGAUAUCUGUUGGAAACGGCAGUUAAUACCGGAUGGUCCAACUUUGAGGCAUCUCUUAGUUGGUAAACUGAUUUAGGGUGAGAGGAGCAGCUUGCGGACCAUCAGCUAGUUGGUGAGGUAAUGGCCCACCAAGGCAACGACGGUUAGCCGGUCUGAGAGGAUGAUCGGCCACACUGGAACUGAGACACGGUCCAGACUCCUACGGGAGGCAGCAGUGAGGAAUAUUGCGCAAUGGGCGAAAGCCUGACGCAGCGACGCCGCGUGAGGGACGACGGCCUUCGGGUUGUAAACCUCUGUCAGUAGGGAAGAGAACGGACGGUACCUACUGAGGAAGCAUCGGCUUACUACGUG